CUACAUGAUGAUUCUCCAUCCUAU
rnacentral:snoRNA from 1 species